UACGUAGGGUGCGAGCGUUGUCCGGAAUUACUGGGCGUAAAGAGCUCGUAGGUGGUUUGUCGCGUUGUUCGUGAAAACUCACAGCUCAACUGUGGGCGUGCGGGCGAUACGGGCAGACUAGAGUACUGCAGGGGAGACUGGAAUUCCUGGUGUAGCGGUGGAAUGCGCAGAUAUCAGGAGGAACACCGGUGGCGAAGGCGGGUCUCUGGGCAGUAACUGACGCUGGAGGAGCGAAAGCGUGGGGAGCGAACAGG
rnacentral:rRNA from 1 species